GGGGGUGUUUUGGUUUUGACAGCGCCGGUGCAGGACGGUAAGCACGCCGGGCGUGGGAGCCUUGCCCGUUAAUCUCAGACUCCAAAAAAUCAGUUGCCAACAACAACUAUGCACUCGCUGCUUAAUUUGCUGGGCAAAUUAGCUUAAUCCGCCGCGCCAAGGUUGCGCCGCCGACGAGUAUCCCUCGGACUUUCCGCCCUGUAUAGUCCGGCCCAGGGGUAUCAUCCAGACAGGGACGCUCCGGCAGACGCCUUUAAAACCGGCUAAGAUUCAAAGGCUAAGGCUUUGGUGGCCCGCUUUCCGGCAGCCUCUCCCCUACAAUCAAAGGAAAGAUAAGCGUGUAGAAAGCCGCCAGGUGCGACGUUUGGACAGCGGUUCGAGUCCGCUCACCUCCACA
rnacentral:tmRNA from 1 species